rnacentral:rRNA from 1 species
CAGUAGCCGCGGGAAUACGAAGGGUGCAAGCGUUACUCGGAAUUACUGGGCGUAAAGCGUGCGUAGGUGGUGGUUUAAGUCCGUUGUGAAAGCCCUGGGCUCAACCUGGGAAUUGCAGUGGAUACUGGGUCACUAGAGUGUGGUAGAGGAUAGUGGAAUUUCCGGUGUAGCAGUGAAAUGCGUAGAGAUCGGAAGGAACAUCUGUGGCGAAGGCGACUAUCUGGGCCAACACUGACACUGAGGCACGAAAGCGUGUGGAGCAAACAGGAUUAGAUACCCCUGUAGUCCCUGUCUCUUAUAC